rnacentral:rRNA from 1 species
GGAGAAAAGCAGGGGAUCGCAAGACCUUGCGCUAAAGGAGCGGCCGAUGUCUGAUUAGCUAGUUGGUGGGGUAAAGGCUUACCAAGGCAACGAUCAGUAGUUGGUCUGAGAGGACGGCCAACCACACUGGGACUGAGACACGGCCCAGACUCCUACGGGAGGCAGCAGUGGGGAAUUUUGGACAAUGGGCGAAAGCCUGAUCCAGCCAUGCCGCGUGAGUGAAGAAGGCCUUCGGGUUGUAAAGCUCUUUUAGUCGGAAAGAAAAGAUCAUAAUGAACAAUUAUGAUUCAUGACGGUACCGACAGAAAAAGCACCGGCUAACUACGUGCCAGCAGCCGCGGUAAUACGUAGGGUGCGAGCGUUAAUCGGAAUUACUGGGCGUAAAGGGUGCGCAGGCGGUCUUGCAAGUCAGAUGUGAAAGCCCCGGGCUUAACCUGGGAAUUGCGUUUGAAACUACAAAGCUAG